AAAGUCGUAACAAGGUUUCCGUAGGUGAACCUGCGGAAGGAUCAUUAAUGAAUUUGAACCACACUUUGGUGUGCAGGGUCUUUUGAGCUUCAUUGCUCAAGGCCCAACUUUCAUAUCCAUAACACCUGUGCACUGUUGGAUGCUUGCAUCCACUUUUAAACUAAACAUUAUUGUAACAAAUGUAGUCUUAUUAUAACAUAAUAAAACUUUCAACAACGGAUCUCUUGGCUCUC
rnacentral:misc_RNA from 1 species